AUAAAGGGCAAUAACUCCUUAAGAGGUCAACAAACCAUUUUGGUCAUGUUGACUUUUGUAGAUCUUACUUUGCUGAACAUUAUUGAUGUUUACAGUUUAUCUGUAUCUAUAAUAGUAUUCAAGAUAAUAACCAAAAAUGACCAAUUGGGGGGCAGCAACCAACAACCGGUUGUCCAAUUCAUCUGAAAAUUUCAGGGCAGAUAGAUCUUGACCUGAUAAACAAUUUAACCCCUCGUCAGAUUUGCUCUAAAUGCUUUGGUUUCAGAGUAAUAAGCCAAAAUCUACAUUUUACCCCUGUGCUC
rnacentral:lncRNA from 1 species